ACACAGAGGAUGCCAUAGGACAUUCUAUUUUUCACAACAAUCGAAGGAGCCAAAUGAAUUGCAGAAGUCACCAUUUUUAAUGAGGAAACACUGAAUUGGCAAAGCUAACGUGAAAUAAGACCUGACUCCAAAAUCUAAAAUGUCCUUGAAGAACACUUCAAGGUCUAGCGCCUUGCCAGGCACCGUUCUCCUUGAAUCUCACAGCAGCCCUGUGAGUAGGCACUACUGUUACCACCGUCACUUUGCAGACAGGGAACCCGAGGGACAAAGAAGUUAAGGGAUUUCCUCAAAGCCACAGCUAGGAAGAGCGGCAGAACUGCGAUUCCAAUCCAUCAGUGUGCCUCCACUAUCCCUAUUCCUUAAGAUCGUGCCAAAGGCUGAGUCACUUGCACUAAGUAGCCUAGAACAGUCUCUGGGGAAACGCGCCCGCCGACAAGGAUCGCCAGAACCGGCGCGGGCACCGCGCGGCGACCAGGAGCUCUGGUCACCGAAGGCCAGGCUGGAGGCCAGAGCAGCCGCCCGCACCCGGUCACCGCCUCGACAGUGGAGACCUCAGCUGACCGCGAGCCCCCGGCCCGCCCGCACCCCUUCUCAUGCCCCCAGGAACCCGCCAAGCCGCUCCAGCCUCACCUCCUCCUCCCUCCAUCGCGAGAUUUCCAACAGCGUUUUUAAAAAAAAAAAAAAAAAA
ensembl:lncRNA novel transcript